GAUGAAGAACGUAGCAAAAUGCGAUAAGUAAUGUGAAUUGCAGAAUUCAGUGAAUCAUCGAAUCUUUGAACGCACAUUGCGCCCGCCAGUAUUCUGGCGGGCAUGCCUGUUCGAGCGUCAUUUCAACCAUCAAGCCCCAGGCUUGUGUUGGGGACCUGCGGCUGCCGCAGGCCCUGAAAACCAGUGGCGGGCUCGCUAGUCACACCGAGCGUAGUAGCAUACACAUCGCUCAGGGCGUGCUGCGGGUUCCGGCCGUUAAACCCCUUUUUUACCCAAGGUUGACCUCGGAUCAGGUAGGAAGACCCGCUGAACUUAAGCAUAUCAAUAAGCGGAGGA
rnacentral:misc_RNA from 1 species